rnacentral:rRNA from 1 species
UGGGGAAUAUUGCACAAUGGGCGAAAGCCUGAUGCAGCAACGCCGCGUGAGUGAUGAAGGCCUUCGGGUUGUAAAGCUCUGUCUUUUGGGACGAUAAUGACGGUACCAAAGGAGGAAGCCACGGCUAACUACGUGCCAGCAGCCGCGGUAAUACGUAGGUGGCAAGCGUUGUCCGGAUUUACUGGGCGUAAAGGAUGCGUAGGCGGAUUUUUAAGUGAGAUGUGAAAUACCCGGGCUUAACUUGGGUGCUGCAUUUCAAACUGGGAAUCUAGAGUGCGGGAGAGGAGAAUGGAAUUCCUAGUGUAGCGGUGAAAUGCGUAGAGAUUAGGAAGAACACCAGUGGCGAAAGGCGAUUCUCUGGACCGUAACUGACGCUGAGGCAUGAAAGCGUGGGUAGCAAACAGGAUUAGAUACCCUGGUAGUCCACGCCGUAAACGAUGAGUACUAGGUGUAGGAGGUAUCGACCCCUUCUGUGCCGCAGUUAACACAAUCAAGUACUCCGCCUGGGAAGUACGAUCGCAAGAUUAAAACUCAAAGGAAUUGACGGGGUC